CUUGAACAUCUUGGAGAUUUGUCCCAUUUCAGUGAAGAAGGGUCAUGGUGCAUUGUCUUUAUUUGUUUUUCAUACUUGCAGCUCAUUUUUUUCCAGUUUGGACUAGAUAGAACAUAGUACGGUCUCCAUUAUCUUCACUUUUUGUUAAUAUGUUUUGUUUUCCAGAGAGAAGGAAGAAAAAGAGGGAGGAAAGAAAGAUCAAGGAAAGAAAGAGAAAGAAGAGAGGGAAGAAGGACCGAAGGAAAGCCGACCAGGAAAAAAAAGUGCUUCUAUCAAUUUGGUUACUUCUUCAAAGAAUAUGAAAAGUCUCCAACAAAAGUAUACAAGACUUUAUUAUUUUGCUGAAGAAAUGGAUAUGUUCAGCCUGCUAUUUGGGGCAGGACUUCAAGGACUGGAAUGAAAGACACAACCCUUUUCGGAUAUGGAAUCCUUGGAUGAAAUGUGCUUUGAACAAAAUUCUUUCUCCGUUUAGUUUGACACUACUCAGCCUUGUAAUAGGCCAAGCCAUGGAUUCCUUUGCAACCUGCCUGUGAAAAAGACAUCACCUGGUUACUUCAGAGCUCUGCUCCCUUCCUGUUAAGGAUGCAGAGUUGACUCUUGGCACAACGAAGCUUAGAGAAACCUGGAAUGUUUUAUGGAUGCUGUCUGGCAGUUUUGAUUCAGAACUAGAGGAAGACCAACAGCAAAACAAGCUGGUCCCAGGUCAGCUGAAAAAAGAGCUCACCAGUAAGAUGGACUCCAGAAGAGAUAAGCACCAUGUAGGAGAAUUUUCCAGGUAUGUCACUGCUACCACAUACAUGAAAGCAUAGCAGAGUCCCAAUGUGGUUAUGCUUAGGAAAAAAAAAAAAAGAUGGCA
rnacentral:lncRNA from 1 species